CCUACGGGAGGCAGCAGUGGGGAAUAUUGGGCAAUGUGGGCAAGCCUGACCCAGCAACGCCGCGUGAAGGAAGAAGGCUUUCGGGUUGUAAACUUCUUUUCUGAGGGACGAAGAAAGUGACGGUACCUCAGGAAUAAGCCACGGCUAACUACGUGCCAGCAGCCGCGGUAAUACGUAGGUGGCAAGCGUUAUCCGGAUUUAUUGGUUGUAAAGGGCGUGUAGGCGGGAAAGCAAGUCAGAUGUGAAAACUCAGGGCUCAACCCUGAGCCUGCAUUUGAAACUGUUUUUCUUGAGUGCUGGAGAGGCAAUCGGAAUUCCGGGUGUAGGGGUGAAAUGCGUAGAUAUACGGGGGAACACCAGUUGCGAAGGCGGAUUGCUGGACAGUAACUGACGCUGAGGCGCGAAAGCGUGGGGAGCAAACAGGAUUAGAUACCCCAGUAGUC
rnacentral:rRNA from 1 species